ACAUCGACUUUGACGGAGACAAGUACGGCAUCGCGGGUUACAGAGAGUUGGCGGACGGUGCAAGCCAAUGCCCAGCGCGCCGGAAAUCCCCUCCCGAGUUGCGCUCCGCAACGCACUGCGAAUAAGGAGCGCCGGCUGCGCCCGUUAACGCGCACCAGAGGCCGGGCCGAUAUGGCCCGGCAAACCCAGGUGGCACCACGAGCCCCCUUCGUCCUGGAA
rnacentral:ncRNA from 1 species